AACGUAGGACGCGAGCGUUAUCCGGAGUUACUGGGCGUAAAGGGUGGGCAGGCGGCCGUGUCAGAUGGGUGUGAAAUCUCCCGGCUCAACCGGGAGGGGCCACUCGUGACUGCACGGCUGGAGGGCAGCAGAGGCGCGUGGAAUUCCGGGUGGAGUGGUGAAAUGCGUAGAGAUCCGGAGGAACACCAGAGGCGAAGGCGGCGCGCUGGGCUGCACCUGACGCUGAACCACGAAAGCCAGGGUAGCGAACGGGAUUAGAAACCCCGGUAGUCCUGGCCGUAAACGAUGUCAACUGGGCCUUGGUAUGGAAGCAUAUCAGGGCCGGAGCGAACGCGCUAAGUUGACCGCCUGGGGAGUACGACCGCAAGGUUAAA
rnacentral:rRNA from 1 species